CCACCCACCUCGGCCUCCCAAAGUGCUGGGAUGACAGGCGUGAGCCACCGUGCCCCGGCCCCGGAUUCUAUUUCUUAAACUGCAGGAAAUACUAAAUACUUUACAUGCGUAUGUUUCUCAUUUCAUUUUCCUACAGGAAUUGGAGAGUGAGUUGCUGAGAUUUCAUUUUUAUUCUCUUGGUCCUCAUCAUGCAAAUGGCUAAAUGGUUUUUUUUUGAAACAGGGUCUUGCUCUGUCCCCCAGGCUGGAGUGCAAUGGGGCGAUCUCGGCUCACUGCAACCUCUGCCUCCCGGGUUCAAGCCAUUCUCCUGCCUCAGCCUCCCGAGUAGCUGGGAUCACAGGUGCGCACCACCGUGUCCGUCUGAUUGUUAAAUUUUUCCUAGAGACGAGGUUUUGCCACGUUGCCCAGGCUGGUCUCAAACUCCUGAGCUCAGGUGAUCCCCCCACCUCGGCCUCCGAAGGCGCUGGGCUUCCAGGCGUGCAGAGGGCUCUUUGUCUACAUCCGUCACUGGAUUUUCUACCCACGGGGACAUGUGACCCCAGCGAGGUGGUCGGGGAGUCGUCGCCGGCCAGCGCUGCAGCCCAGGGAUGAUGACGGCUCUAGGAGUUUGGUUGUGGAGCACAGAUGCCGGCGGUGUGGGCACGAGGCCCUGCACCUGCGUUUCUCCUGCACGGGCCCCGGAACCCCGGGAUGGGAUCUCUGUGGAGUGAUCACGGGUCCCACAGGCUGGUGACAGCGCGACUGAAGGCCACGCUGCAGUCAGGAGGCCGCCCCACGUGUGACCCCGGGUCUUCCCACCCCGCCCUGACCCAGGGUCCUGGCCUUCCACGUGUGACCCUGGUUCCGGCACCUGUCCCCGCCCC
rnacentral:lncRNA from 10 species